rnacentral:rRNA from 1 species
UACGUAGGGGGCGAGCGUUGUCCGGAGUUACUGGGCGUAAAGGGCAUGCAGGCGGUCGGACGCGUUUCGGGUGACAGCGGGUGGCUUAACUACCCGAGUGGUCGAAAGACGGUUUGACUUGAGGACGCGAGAGGGACACGGAAUUCCGGGUGGAGUGGUGAAAUGCGUAGAGAUCCGGAGGAACACCGAAGGCGAAGGCAGUGUCCUGGCGCGUAACUGACGCUGAGGCGCGAAAGCUAGGGGAGCAAACGGG